rnacentral:rRNA from 1 species
AUUGAACGCUGGCGGCAUGCUUUACACAUGCAAGUCGAACGGUAACAGGCCUUCGGGUGCUGACGAGUGGCGAACGGGUGAGUAAUGCAUCGGAACGUGCCCAAUCGUGGGGGAUAACGUAGCGAAAGUUACGCUAAUACCGCAUAAGCCCUGAGGGGGAAAGCAGGGGAUCGCAAGACCUUGCGCGAAUGGAGCGGCCGAUGUCAGAUUAGCUAGUUGGUGGGGUAAAGGCCUACCAAGGCGACGAUCUGUAGCGGGUCUGAGAGGAUGAUCCGCCACACUGGGACUGAGACACGGCCCAGACUCCUACGGGAGGCAGCAGUGGGGAAUAUUGGACAAUGGGCGCAAGCCUGAUCCAGCAAUGCCGCGUGUGUGAAGAAGGCCUGCGGGUUGUAAAGCACUUUCAGUGGGGAAGAACAGGCCUGGGCUAAUACCCCAGGUGUCUGACGUUACCCACAGAAGAAGCACCGGCUAACUCCGUGCCAGCAGCCG